ACUCCUACGGGAGGCAGCAGUAGGGAAUAUUGGACAAUGGGUGAAAGCCUGAUCCAGCCAUGCCGCGUGCAGGAAGAAGGCCUUCUGGGUUGUAAACUGCUUUUGCCAGGGGAUAAAAAGACUCUGCGGAGUAAAUUGAAGGUACCUGGUGAAUAAGCCACGGCUAACUACGUGCCAGCAGCCGCGGUAAUACA
rnacentral:rRNA from 1 species